UUUUACAAUGAAGAGUUUGAUCCUGGCUCAGGAUGAACGCUAGCUACAGGCCUAACACAUGCAAGUCGAGGGGCAGCAUGGGCUUAGCUUGCUAAGCCUGAUGGCGACCGGCGCACGGGUGAGUAACGCGUAUCCGACCUUCCGGCGGCCCGGGUCCAGCCUUUCGAAAGAAAGAUUAAUCCCCGAUGGUGUCAGGCAGUUCCAUGACAGCCUGACUAAAGAGUUAUCGGCCGCCGAUGGGGAUGCGUUCCAUUAGCUUGUUGGCGGGGUAACGGCCCACCAAGGCGACGAUGGAUAGGGGUUCUGAGAGGAAGGCCCCCCACAUUGGGACUGAGACACGGCCCAAACUCCUACGGGAGGCAGCAGUGAGGAAUAUUGGUCAAUGGGCGCGAGCCUGAACCAGCCAAGUAGCGUGGAGGAUGACUGCCCUACGGGUUGUAAACUCCUUUUGCAGGGGGAUAAAGUGUGCCACGUGUGGCAUAUUGCAGGUACCCUGCGAAUAAGCAUCGGCUAACUCCGUGCCAGCAGCCGCGGUAAUACGGAGGAUGCGAGCGUUAUCCGGAUUUAUUGGGUUUAAAGGGAGCGCAGACGGCCCCUUAAGUCAGCUGUGAAAGUUUGCGGCUCAACCGUAAAAUUGCAGUUGAAACUGUGGGGCUUGAGUACGGUCGCGGCAUGCGGAAUUCGUGGUGUAGCGGUGAAAUGCAUAGAUAUCACGAAGAACCCCGAUUGCGAAGGCAGCAUGCCAGCCCGCCACUGACGUUGAGGCUCGAAGGUGCGGGUAUCAAACAGGAUUAGAUACCCUGGUAGUCCGCACGGUAAACGAUGGACACCCGCUGUCGGCGAUAUACAGUCGGCGGCCAAGCGAAAGCGUUAAGUGUCCCACCUGGGGAGUACGCCGGCAACGGUGAAACUCAAAGGAAUUGACGGGGGCCCGCACAAGCGGAGGAACAUGUGGUUUAAUUCGAUGAUACGCGAGGAACCUUACCCGGGCUUGAACUGCGCCUGAAUGUGCCGGAAACGGUGCAGCCGCAAGGCAGGCGCGGAGGUGCUGCAUGGUUGUCGUCAGCUCGUGCCGUGAGGUGUCGGCUUAAGUGCCAUAACGAGCGCAACCCCUUCCGGCAGUUGCCAUCAGGUGAUGCUGGGUACUCUGCCGGUACUGCCAUCGUAAGAUGCGAGGAAGGUGGGGAUGACGUCAAAUCAGCACGGCCCUUACGUCCGGGGCUACACACGUGUUACAAUGGGGGGUACAGAGGGCUGCCAGCCGGCGACGGCGCGCGAAUCCCGAAAUCCCCUCCCAGUUCGGACUGGAGCCUGCAACCCGGCUCCACGAAGCUGGAUUCGCUAGUAAUCGCGCAUCAGCCAUGGCGCGGUGAAUACGUUCCCGGGCCUUGUACACACCGCCCGUCAAGCCAUGAAAGCCGGGGGUACCUGAAGUGCGUAACCGCAAGGGGCGCCCUAGGGUAAAACCGGUGAUUGGGGCUAAGUCGUAACAAGGUAGCCGUACCGGAAGGUGCGGCUGGAACACCUCCUUUCUGGAG
rnacentral:rRNA from 1 species